rnacentral:rRNA from 1 species
AACGAACGCUGGCGGCAUGCCUAACACAUGCAAGUCGAACGAGACCUUCGGGUCUAGUGGCGCACGGGUGCGUAACGCGUGGGAACCUGCCCUUAGGUUCGGAAUAACUCCCCGAAAGGGGUGCUAAUACCGGAUAAUGUCUUCGGACCAAAGAUUUAUCGCCUUUGGAUGGGCCCGCGUUGGAUUAGCUAGUUGGUAGGGUAAAAGCCUACCAAGGCGACGAUCCAUAGCUGGUCUGAGAGGAUGAUCAGCCACACUGGGACUGAGACACGGCCCAGACUCCUACGGGAGGCAGGAGUGGGGAAUAUUGGACAAUGGGCGAAAGCCUGAUCCAGCAAUGCCGCGUGAGUGAUGAAGGCCUUAGGGUUGUAAAGCUCUUUUAACCGGGAUGAUAAUGACAGUACCGGGAGAAUAAGCUCCGGCUAACUCCGUG